rnacentral:rRNA from 1 species
AAGCAGGGGAUCGUAAGACCUUGCGCUUUUGGAGCGGCCGAUGCCUGAUUAGCUAGUUGGUGAGGUAAGGGCCUACCAAGGCGACGAUCAGUAGUUGGUCUGAGAGGACGACCAGCCACACUGGGACUGAGACACGGCCCAGACUCCUACGGGAGGCAGCAGUGGGGAAUUUUGGACAAUGGGCGGAAGCCUGAUCCAGCAAUGCCGCGUGAGUGAAGAAGGCCUUCGGGUUGUAAAGCUCUUUCAGUCGAGAAGAAAAGGUCGCGACUAAUAAUCGCGACUCAUGACGGUAUCGACAGAAGAAGCACCGGCUAACUACGUGCCAGCAGCCGCGGUAAUACGUAGGGUGCGAGCGUUAAUCGGAAUUACUGGGCGUAAAGGGUGCGCAGGCGGCUCUGUAAGUCAGAUGUGAAAUCCCCGGGCUUAACCUGGGAAUUGCGUUUGAAACUACAAAGCUAGAGU